rnacentral:rRNA from 1 species
AUUGAACGCUGGCGGCAUGCUUUACACAUGCAAGUCGAACGGCAGCACGGGGGCAACCCUGGUGGCGAGUGGCGAACGGGUGAGUAACACAUCGGAACGUGUCCAGUUGUGGGGGAUAACCCAUCGAAAGGUGGGCUAAUACCGCAUGAGCUGGCAACAGGAAAGCGGGGGACCCGCAAGGGCCUUGUGCGAUUGGAGCGGCCGAUGUCCGAUUAGCUAGUUGGUGGGGAAAGCCUACCAAGGCUUCGAUCGGUAGCUGGUCUGAGAGGAUGAUCAGCCACACUGGGACUGAGACACGGCCCAGACUCCUACGGGAGGCAGCAGUGGGGAAUUUUGGACAAUGGGGCAACCCUGAUCCAGCCAUGCCGCGUGAGUGAAG